rnacentral:rRNA from 1 species
UACGUAGGGGGGCUAGCGUUGUCCGGAAUCAUUGGGCGUAAAGCGCGUGUAGGCGGUCCGGUAAGUCCGCUGUGAAAGUCGAGGGCUCAACCCGGGAAGUGCACUCGAUACUGUCGAGCUAGAGUAUCGGAGAGGUUGGUGGAAUUCUCGGUGUAGAGGUGAAAUUCGUAGAUAUCGAGAGGAACACCGGUGGCGAAGGCGGCCAACUGGACGAAUACUGACGCUGAGACUCGAAAGCGUGGGGAGCAAACAGG